GACGAACGCUGGCGGCGUGCUUAACACAUGCAAGUCGAACGGAAAGGCCCUGCUUUUGUUGGGUUCUCGAUUGGCGAACGGGUGAGUAACACGUGAGUAACCUGCCCUUGACUGUGGGAUAACUUCAGGAAACUGGGGCUAAUACCGGAUAGGAGCUCCUGCUGCAUGGUGGGGGUUGGAAAGUUUCGGCGGUUGGGGAUGGACUCGCGGCUUAUCAGCUUGUUGGUGGGGUAGUUGCUUACCAAGGCUUUGACGGGUAGCCGGCCUGAGCGGGUGAACGGCCACAUUGGGACUGAGAUACGGACCAGAAUCCUACGGGACGCAGCAGUGGGGAAUAUUGCACAAUGGGCGGACGCCUGAUGUAGAAACGCCGGGAGCGGGAUGACGGCCUUCGGGUUGUAAACCGAUUUCGAAUGUGACGAAGCGUGAGUGACGGUAAUGGGUAAAGAAGCACCGGCUAACUACGUG
rnacentral:rRNA from 1 species